GCCAGGCGUUGUGGCGGGCGCCUGUGGUCCCAACUACUUGGGAGGCUGAGGCAGGAGACUCGCUUGAGCCCAGGAGUUGGAGGUUGCUGCGGGC
ensembl:miRNA